rnacentral:rRNA from 1 species
CCUGGCGGCCUUUAGCGCGGUGGUCCCACCUGACCCCAUGCCGAACUCAGAAGUGAAACGCCGUAGCGCCGAUGGUAGUGUGGGGUCUCCCCAUGCGAGAGUAGGGAACUGCCAGGC